rnacentral:rRNA from 1 species
GAUUAACGCUGGCGGCAUGCCUAAUACAUGCAAGUCGAACGAAAAAUAUAUAGAUGCUUGCAUUUAGAUAUUUUUAGUGGCGAACGGGUGAGUAAUAUAUAGAUAACCUACCUUUAAGUUGGGGAUAACAGAGGGAAACUUUUGCUAAUACCGAAUAAAAUAAUUAGACGCAUGUUUAAUUAUUAAAAGGGGCUUCAAAGCCCCGCUCUAAGAGGGGUCUAUAUCGCAUUAGCUAGUUGGUAAGAUAACAGCCUACCAAGGCGAUGAUGCGUAGCUGUACUGAGAGGUAGAACAGCCACAUUGGGACUGAGAUACGGCCCAAACUCCUACGGGAGGCAGCAGUAGGGAAUUUUCGGCAAUGGGGGGAAUUUUUGACCGAGUAAUGCCGUGUGAAUGAAGACGAUCUUCGGAUUGUAAAGUUCUGUUAAUUGGGAAAGAAAGAUAUGGCGAGGAAAUGCGUUAUAUUUGACGGUACCUGAUGAGAAAGCCCCGGCUAACUAUGUGCCAGCAGCCGCGGUAA